rnacentral:rRNA from 1 species
UACGAAGGGGGCGAGCGUUGUUCGGAUUUACUGGGCGUAAAGGGCGCGCAGGCGGCGCAUUUUGUCAGGCGUGAAAGCCCCGGGCUUAACCUGGGAACUGCGUUUGAUACGGAUGGGCUAGAGUUCGGGAGAGGGAUGCAGAAUUCCAGGUGUAGCGGUGAAAUGCGUAGAUAUCUGGAGGAAUACCGGUGGCGAAGGCGGCAUCCUGGACCGACAUUGACGCUGAUGAGCGAAAGCUAGGGGAGCAAACGGG